UACGUAGGGUGGGAGCGUUGUCCGGAAUUAUUGGGCGUAAAGGGCUCGUAGGCGGUUUGUCGCGUCGGGAGUGAAAACGCCGGGCUUAACUCGGCGCUUGCUUUCGAUACGGGCAGACUAGAGGCAUGCAGGGGAGAACGGAAUUCCUGGUGUAGCGGUGAAAUGCGCAGAUAUCAGGAGGAACACCGGUGGCGAAGGCGGUUCUCUGGGCAUGUCCUGACGCUGAGGAGCGAAAGUGUGGGGAGCGAACAGG
rnacentral:rRNA from 1 species